CCGCUGGCAACAUCGGUCCAAUCCUUAAAGUCAUCCUCAGUUCGGACUGGGGUCUGCAACCCGACCCCACGAAGCUGGAUUCGCUAGUAAUCGCGCAUCAGCCAUGGCGCGGUGAAUACGUUCCCGGGCCUUGUACACACCGCCCGUCAAGCCAUGAAANCCGGGGGCGCCUGAAGUCCGUGACCGCGAGGGUCGGCCUAGGGUGAAACCGGUGAUUGGGGCUAAGUCGUAACAAGGUAGC
rnacentral:rRNA from 1 species